UGAUUAGCAUGGCCCCUGCACAAGAAUGACAUGCAAAUUCGUGAAGUGUUCCAUAUAAAU
rnacentral:snRNA from 1 species